rnacentral:rRNA from 1 species
GGGGAAUUUUGCGCAAUGGGCGAAAGCCUGACGCAGCAACGCCGCGUGAGUGAUGAAGGUUUUCGGAUCGUAAAGCUCUGUCAGAGGGGAAGAAACUCCCGGGAGAUAAUAUCGCCUGGGCCUGACGGUACCCUCAAAGGAAGCACCGGCUAACUCCGUGCCAGCAGCCGCGGUAAUACGGAGGGUGCAAGCGUUGUUCGGAAUUAUUGGGCGUAAAGCGCGUGUAGGCGGUUGGUUAAGUCUGAUGUGAAAGCCCUGGGCUCAACCCGGGAAGUGCAUUGGAAACUGGCUAACUUGAGUACGGGAGAGGGUAGUGGAAUUUCGAGUGUAGGGGUGAAAUCCGUAGAUAUUCGAAGGAACACCGGUGGCGAAGGCGGCUACCUGGACCGAUACUGACGCUGAGACGCGAAAGCGUGGGGAGCAAAC